GAUGAACGCUGGCGGCGUGCCUAAUACAUGCAAGUCGAGCGAACAGACGAGGAGCUUGCUCCUCUGACGUUAGCGGCGGACGGGUGAGUAACACGUGGAUAACCUACCUAUAAGACUGGGAUAACUUCGGGAAACCGGAGCUAAUACCGGAUAAUAUAUUGAACCGCAUGGUUCAAUAGUGAAAGACGGUUUUGCUGUCACUUAUAGAUGGAUCCGCGCCGCAUUGGCUAGUUGGUAAGGUAACGGCUUACCAAGGCCACGAUGCGUAACCGACCUGAGAGGGUGAUCGGCCACACCGGAACCGGGACGAGGUCCAGACUCCUACGGGAGGCAGCAGUAGGGAAUCUUCCGCAAUGGGCGAAAGCUUGACGGAGGAAAGCCGCGGGAGUGAUGGAGGUCUUCGGAUCGUAAAACUCUGUUAUUAGGGAAGAACAAAUGGGUGAGUAACUAUGCACGGCUUGACGGUAACUAAUCAGAAAACCACGGCUAACUACGUG
rnacentral:rRNA from 1 species